rnacentral:tRNA from 1 species
ACGCCUUUGGCUCAAUUGGAAGAGCACCUGACUCUUAAUCAGGGGGUUAUGGGUUCAAGUCCCAUAAGGCGUA